rnacentral:rRNA from 1 species
UGUGGCCUACGGGACGCAGCAGUGAGGAAUAUUGGUCAAUGGGCGAGAGCCUGAACCAGCCAAGUCGCGUGAAGGAUGACGGCCCUACGGGUUGUAAACUUCUUUUGUCAGGGAGCAAUUGGGUCCACGCGUGGGCUUAGCGAGAGUACCUGAAGAAAAAGCAUCGGCUAACUCCGUGCCAGCAGCCGCGGUAAUACGUAGGGGGCAAGCGUUAUCCGGAUUUACUGGGUGUAAAGGGAGCGUAGACGGCAGCACAAGUCUGAAGUGAAAUGCCGGGGCUUAACCCCGGAACUGCUUUGGAAACU